UAUCAAAGAAUUUCAGUAUGGUUGAUAAUAUACAAGGUCCCAAAACAGCGUAGAAUCAAUAAAUACAUGUACAUACAUUUAUUGAUGUUCAUGUAUAGAUUUAUUGCCCAUAACUUUUAAAAUGUGAGGCAUAAUGUUGUUUGCCUUGUCUCUCGCCCUUUCCUAUCUACUGGUAAAACUCAACAUUUUUUUUUUGGAGUUUACAAAAUGGAGACUGCAUUCUUUGUAAUCUGUAAGGUCAAGGUCAGAUAUAGAUGACUAGUAAAAAUUCAAGGUCAUUUCUCAAGCUCAGGAUCAAUGAUGCAACUGCUCCUUCCCCUUUAACCUUUGACAGAACUUAUAACCUUCCUCUUGGGUAAAUAGAUAAUAAAUUAAGUCAUCAAGUUUAAGAACAAAUUGAUCAGACUUAUUCCUCUACAAGGGCAUUAGGUUUAACCAUCACAUGUUAUUUAACUGUUUAUUGUAUGAAUGAUUACUUUUAAUUUUGAUAAUUGAUAUAUUUUUGACUGUGCAAUAAUUACAAUUAUAAUUUGUUGAGGUAUAUCAAUCAUUUUUUUAUGAUCAUUUUGACUUUUGACAAUUUAUGCUAUAUACAUUUAUUAAAGAAUUGUAGAUUAU
rnacentral:sRNA from 1 species